AUUGAACGCUGGCGGCAGGCCUAACACAUGCAAGUCGAGCGAGCGGCGGACGGGUGAGUAAUGUCUGGGAAACUGCCUGAUGGAGGGGGAUAACUACUGGAAACGGUAGCUAAUACCGCAUACCAUCAGAUGUGCCCAGAUGGGCUUAGCUAGUAGGUGGGGUAACGGCUCACCUAGGCGACGAUCCCUAGCUGGUCUGAGAGGAUGACCAGCCACACUGGAACUGAGACACGGUCCAGACUCCUACGGGAGGCAGCAGUGGGGAAUAUUGGACAAGGGGCGAAAGCCUGAUCCAGCCAUGCCGCGUGUGUGAAGAAGGUCUUCGGAUUGUAAAGCACUUUAAGUUGGGAGGCGUUACCCGCAGAAGAAGCACCGGCUAACUCCGUGCCAGCCGCCGCGGUAAUAC
rnacentral:rRNA from 1 species